rnacentral:tRNA from 1 species
GGAUGAUUAGCUCAGUUGGUUAGAGCACUACAUUCACACUGUAGGGGUCAGUGGUUCGAGUCCACUAUUAUCCA